rnacentral:rRNA from 1 species
AUUGAACGCUGGCGGCCGGCCUAACACAUGCAAGUCGAACGAGUGGCGGACGGGUGAGUACUGUCUGGGAAACUGUCUGAUGGAGGGGGAUAACUACUGGAACCGGUAGCUAAUACCGCAUACCCUCAGAUGUGCCCAGAUGGGAUUAGCUUGUUGGUGGGGUAACGGCGCACCAGGGCGAAGAUCCGUAGCUGGUCUGAGAGGAUGCACAGCCACACUGGAACUGAGACACGGUCCAGACGCCGACGGGAGGCAGCAGUGGGGAAGAUUGCGCAAGGGGCGCAAGCCUGAUGAAGCAAUGCCGCGUGUAUGAAGAAGGCCUGCGGGUUGUAAAGUACUUUCAGCGGGGAGGCGUUACCCGCAGAAGAAGCACCGGCUAACGCCGUGCCAGCAGCGGCGGUAAUAC